ensembl:snRNA U4 U4 spliceosomal RNA
AGUUUUGUGCAGUGGCAGUGUUGUAGCUGAUGAGGUUUAUCUGAGGUAUGAUCAUUGCUAAUUGAAAACCUUUCUCAAUAACCUUCCAUGAUGACUUGAAAUACAGUCGGCAUCAGCAAAUUUUUGACAGUCUCUAUGGAGA